AUGCAUUUAGAAAACCAGGAACUUUCAUCAUCAGUACUGGUUAAUCAAGGGAUCAAACCUUUUUUACAAUAUCCUUCGAAUGAAGUCAAUAAGAAUGAAGGAAUGAGUGGAUUAUUUGGUUUAAAACAAAAGUCAAUUUACAAAAUACAAGAUGACACUAGAGAGAAAUGUCUAAUCCAGAGAUCAUCAAACCACAUUUUUUGGACUCCCAAGUCCAUUAAAACUAGAAGAUGUAUUUUCAAAGCUAUUCAGUGCAAUGAUAUUAACCCUCAAGAAGAUCUUCCUUUAGCACUAAACACAUUUGGCAGUAUAGGAAGACUGCUGGAAUGGAUGAUAAGGUGGUCUAAUAGAAGGCUACUCUGUGAUUCUGGUAUAACUGAGUCAUCCUCUGAGUACAGUCCAGUAAUUCGUGUAAAGACCUCUGCAGCUGCCAUUCUUACAUCAUUAUGGCUUUUGGAACAACCCUAUUUUGCUACAUAUAAGGCAAAAAAUGCCAUUAUUAAGAUGGUAGAGAAUCGUGACACUGGGUGUCAGAUUGGACCCAAUAUUGAGAGGGAGAGCAAAUCAGAUGCUGGCGGUUCAGUUGCAGUAGCAACUCCAGGUGGAACUGAGGAAAGAAAUGGUCAGAAUAAAUCUUGUCAAAAUAUCUUGAAUAGAAUGCCAACUGAAGCAAAAAAUCCUGAUAUAAAAGAAAUCAAUGAUGAUAUUAUUUCCGUCACUCAUAAUACUAAAAAAGAAUUUAUAGAUAUUGAUGAGAAUCUUUUAGAAGUAGAAGCAUUUACAGAAGAGGAAAUGGAUAUGCACAUAUCAGACUAUGAAGAAGACAUUGAAGAAUCUGUUGGAGGUUUCAGAAGUCCCAGUCUUGCCAUUUGCAUGAUGACUUCACCACAGCAGUUAGAAGAAGAGUUCACAGAAGAGGUUCAGUGUCAAAGGGAAGAACCACUGGAGACAAUUAUGGAGGAAAAAUCGACUGAACAAAAAGGUAUGAUCGAAGCCUUUUCACAUCCUGAGCAUACCACUCCUCAAUCAAUGCAAGUAGAUACAAGUUCAGAAAUUUCUAGUGCACAGAUUUCUACAUAUAAAGACAAAUCUUCCUCAGUUCCACUUCUGAUAUCAAAUGGAGUCAAUGUUGCUUCACAACCACCUGUUCCAACACCUCAGAAGACCCAGAGAAAUGAAUGCACGGCUCAGUUACCAGAUUGUUCGGAGUCUGUUAGGCAGAUGCUGCAAGAUGAAAUGUUUAAAUUAGUUCAGAAUCCUGUUCACAAGAUUCCUGACUCGCAUGAGAUAACGCUGAAGCAUGGCACUAAAACAGUGUCUGCUUUGGAUCUGGAUGCCUCAGGUGCCCGUUUGGUGACAGGUGGAUAUGACUAUGAUGUUAAGUUUUGGGAUUUUGCUGGAAUGGAUGCUUCUUUUAAGGCAUUUCAAUCCCUUCAGCCCUGUGAGUGGCUGGGCGCGGUGGCUCACACUUGUAAUUCCAGAACUUUAGAAAGCCGAGGCAGGCGGAUCACCUGAGGCCUGGAGUUUGAGACCAGAAUGGACAACAUGGCAAAAGCCCGUUGGAAAUGGCCAUCUUCUCUCAGUAUCCUCACAUGGGCUGGUGAAUUACCAGAUCUCCGUCAAGUGCAGUAACCAGUUCAAGUUGGAAGUGUGUCUUUUGAAUGCAGAAAACAAAGUCGUGGACAACCAGGCUGGGACCCAGGGCCAGCUGAAGGUGCUGGGUGCCAACCU